rnacentral:rRNA from 1 species
UACAGAGGUCCCAAGCGUUGUUCGGAUUCACUGGGCGUAAAGGGUGCGUAGGCGGUCGGGUAAGUCUGACGUGAAAUCUUCAAGCUCAACUUGGAAACUGCGUCGGAUACUAUUCGGCUAGAGGAAUGGAGGGGAGACUGGAAUACUUGGUGUAGCAGUGAAAUGCGUAGAUAUCAAGUGGAACACCAGUGGCGAAGGCGAGUCUCUGGACAUUUCCUGACGCUGAGGCACGAAGGCCAGGGGAGCAAACGGG